rnacentral:rRNA from 1 species
GAUGAACGCUAGCGGCAGGCCUAAUACAUGCAAGUCGAACGGUGUCUUCGGACAUAGUGGCGCACGGGUGCGUAACACGUAUGCAACCUACCUUACAUUGGGGGACAGCCUUUCGAAAGGGAGAUUAAUACCGCAUAAGACAGUAGCUGGGCAUCCAGCAGCUGUUAAAGAUUUAUCGAUGUAAGCUGGGCAUGCGUCCAAUUAGCUAGUUGGUGAGGUAACGGCUCACCAAGGCAAUGAUUGGUAGGGGAACUGAGAGGUCAAUCCCCCACACUGGCACUGAGAUACGGGCCAGACUCCUACGGGAGGCAGCAGUAGGGAAUAUUGGGCAAUGGACGCAAGUCUGACCCAGCCAUGCCGCGUGCAGGAUGAAGGCGUUAUGCGUUGUAAACUGCUUUUAUACAGGAAGAAACGACUCUUGCGAGAGGCAUUGACGGUACUGUAUGAAAAAGCACCGGCUAACUCCGUGCCAGCCGCCGCGGUAACAC